GACGGAGGAUGCAAGCGUUAUCCGGAAUGAUUGGGCGUAAAGCGUCCGCAGGUGGCAGUUCAAGUCUGCUGUCAAAGACCGGGGCUUAACUUCGGAAAGGCAGUGGAAACUGAACAGCUAGAGUAUGGUAGGGGCAGAGGGAAUUCCUGGUGUAGCGGUGAAAUGCGUAGAUAUCAGGAAGAACAUCGGUGGCGAAGGCGCUCUGCUGGACCAUAACUGACACUCAGGGACGAAAGCGAGGGGAGCGAAUGGG
rnacentral:rRNA from 1 species